UCUUAAACGAGGACUCUGCUGCUGUCCUUCAUUCCACUGGAUCCUGUGCAAAUAUAAUCCAGAUUCCCAGUGGCAUGAAGUGCAUUAGCUGUGCCCAUGA